CAGCCACGGGAAUACGAAGGGUGCAAGCGUUACUCGGAAUUACUGGGCGUAAAGCGUGCGUAGGUGGUGGUUUAAGUCCGUUGUGAAAGCCCUGGGCUCAACCUGGGAAUUGCAGUGGAUACUGGGUCACUAGAGUGUGGUAGAGGAUAGUGGAAUUUCCGGUGUAGCAGUGAAAUGCGUAGAGAUCGGAAGGAACAUCUGUGGCGAAGGCGACUAUCUGGGCCAACACUGACACUGAGGCACGAAAGCGUGGGGAGCAAACAGGAUUAGAUACCCCCGUAGUCCCUGUCUCUUAUACACA
rnacentral:rRNA from 1 species